rnacentral:rRNA from 1 species
GAUGAACGCUGGCGGCGUGCCUAAUACAUGCAAGUCGAGCGAACAGAUAAGGAGCUUGCUCCUUUGAAGUUAGCGGCGGACGGGUGAGUAACACGUGGGUAACCUACCUAUAAGACUGGGAUAACUUCGGGAAACCGGAGCUAAUACCGGAUAACAUUUAGAACCGCAUGGUUCUAAAGUGAAAGAUGGUUUUGCUAUCACUUAUAGAUGGACCCGCGCCGUAUUAGCUAGUUGGUAAGGUAACGGCUUACCAAGGCGACGAUACGUAGCCGACCUGAGAGGGUGAUCGGCCACACUGGAACUGAGACACGGUCCAGACUCCUACGGGAGGCAGCAGUAGGGAAUCUUCCGCAAUGGGCGAAAGCCCGACGGAGCAACGCCGCGUGAGUGAUGAAGGGUUUCGGCUCGUAAAACUCUGUUAUUAGGGAAGAACAAAUGUGUAAGUAACUGUGCACAUCUUGACGGUACCUAAUCAGAAAGCCACGGCUAACUACGUGCCAGCAGCCGCGGUAAUACGUAGGUGGCAAGCGUUAUCCGGAAUUAUUGGGCGUAAAGCGCGCGUAGGCGGUUUCUUAAGUCUGAUGUGAAAGCCCACGGCUCAACCGUGGAGGGUCAUUGGAAACUGGGAAACUUGAGUGCAGAAGAGGAAAGUGGAAUUCCAUGUGUAGCGGUGAAAUGCGCAGAGAUAUGGAGGAACACCAGUGGCGAAGGCGACUUUCUGGUCUGUAACUGACGCUGAUGUGCGAAAGCGUGGGGAUCAAACAGGAUUAGAUACCCUGGUAGUCCACGCCGUAAACGAUGAGUGCUAAGUGUUAGGGGGGUUUCCGCCCCUUAGUGCUGCAGCUAACGCAUUAAGCACUCCGCCUGGGGAGUACGACCGCAAGGUUGAAACUCAAAGGAAUUGACGGGGACCCGCACAAGCGGUGGAGCAUGUGGUUUAAUUCGAAGCAACGCGAAGAACCUUACCAAAUCUUGACAUCCUUUGAAAACUCUAGAGAUAGAGCCUUCCCCUUCGGGGGACAAAGUGACAGGUGGUGCAUGGUUGUCGUCAGCUCGUGUCGUGAGAUGUUGGGUUAAGUCCCGCAACGAGCGCAACCCUUAAGCUUAGUUGCCAUCAUUAAGUUGGGCACUCUAGGUUGACUGCCGGUGACAAACCGGAGGAAGGUGGGGAUGACGUCAAAUCAUCAUGCCCCUUGUGAUUUGGGCUACACACGUGCUACAAUGGACAAUACAAAGGGCAGCUAAACCGCGAGGUCAUGCAAAUCCCAUAAAGUUGUUCUCAGUUCGGAUUGUAGUCUGCAACUCGACUACAUGAAGCUGGAAUCGCUAGUAAUCGUAGAUCAGCAUGCUACGGUGAAUACGUUCCCGGGUCU